UGGCUCAGAACGAACGCUGGCGGCAUGCCUAACACAUGCAAGUCGAACGAGAUCUUCGGAUCUAGUGGCGGACGGGUGAGUAACGCGUGGGUAUCUGCCCUGGAGCGUGGAAUAACCGCUGGAAACGGCGGCUAAUACCGCAUACGCCCCGAGGGGGAAAGGCUUCGGCCACUCUGGGAGGAACCCGCGUCCGAUUAGCUAGUUGGGGGGGUAACGGCCCACCAAGGCGACGAUCGGUAGCUGGUCUGAGAGGAUGAUCAGCCACACUGGGACUGAGACACGGCCCAGACUCCUACGGGAGGCAGCAGUGGGGAAUAUUGGACAAUGGGGGAAACCCUUGAUCCAGCAAUGCCGCGUGCGUGAAGAAGGCCUUAGGGUUGUAAAGCGCUUUCGCCCGCGAAGAUGAUGACGGA
rnacentral:rRNA from 1 species